rnacentral:rRNA from 1 species
AUUGAACGCUGGCGGCAGGCCUAACACAUGCAAGUCGAGCGGAUGAAGGGAGCUUGCUCCUGGAUUCAGCGGCGGACGGGUGAGUAAUGCCUAGGAAUCUGCCUGGUAGUGGGGGAUAACGUCCGGAAACGGGCGCUGAUACCGCAUACGUCCUGAGGGAGAAAGUGGGGGAUCUUCGGACCUCACGCUAUCAGAUGAGCCUAGGUCGGAUUAGCUAGUUGGUGGGGUAAAGGCCUACCAAGGCGACGAUCCGUAACUGGUCUGAGAGGAUGAUCAGUCACACUGGAACUGAGACACGGUCCAGACUCCUACGGGAGGCGGCAGUGGGGAAUAUUGGACAAUGGGCGAAAGCCUGAUCCAGCCAUGCCGCGUGUGUGAAGAAGGUCUUCGGAUUGUAAAGCACUUUAAGUUGGGAGGAAGGGCAGUAAGUUAAUACCUUGCUGUUUUGACGUUACCAACAGAAUAAGCACCGGCUAACUUCGUG